rnacentral:rRNA from 1 species
CUCCUGGAAACGGGUGGUAAUGCCGGAUGUUCCACAUGAGCGCAUGCGAGUGUGGGAAAGGCUUUUUGCGGCAUGGGAUGGGGUCGCGUCCUAUCAGCUUGUUGGUGGGGUAACGGCCUACCAAGGCGUUGACGGGUAGCCGGCCUGAGAGGGCGACCGGCCACAUUGGGACUGAGAUACGGCCCAGACUCCUACGGGAGGCAGCAGUGGGGAAUAUUGCACAAUGGGCGCAAGCCUGAUGCAGCGACGCCGCGUGCGGGAUGGAGGCCUUCGGGUUGUAAACCGCUUUUGUUCAAGGGCAAGGCACGGUUUCGGCCGUGUUGAGUGGAUUGUUCGAAUAGGCACCGGCUAACUACGUGCCAGCAGCCGCGGUAAUACGUACGGUGCAAGCGUUAUCCGGAUUUAUUGGGCGUAAAGGGCUCGUAGGCGGUUCGUCGCGUCCGGUGUGAAAGUCCAUCGCUUAACGGUGGAUCCGCGCCGGGUACGGGCGGGCUUGAGUGCGGUAGGGGAGACUGGAAUUCCCGGUGUAACGGUGGAAUGUGUAGAUAUCGGGAAGAACACC